GAUCCUGGUUCUGGUGUUGGUGCCAGACAUUAACCUUCUGGAUUACCUGCCAGAGAUCCUGGAUGGGCUCUUCCAGAUCCUGGGUGACAAUGGCAAGGAGAUUCAGAAAAUGUGUGAGGUGGUUCUUGGAGAGUUCUUGAAAGAAAUUAAGAAGAACCCAUCCAGUGUGAAGUUUGCUGAGAUGGCCAACAUCCUUGUGAUCCACUGUCAGACUACAGAUGACCUGAUUCAGCUGACGGCUAUGUGCUGGAUGCGGGAAUUCAUCCAGCUGGCAGACAGGGUAAUGCUGCCCUAUUCCUCUGGAAUCCUGACUGCUGUCCUGCCAUGCUUGCCCUAUGAUGACUGCAAGAAAAGUAUCAAGGAGGUAGCCAAUGUGUGUAACCAGAGCUUGAUGAAGCUGGUCACCCCUGAGGAUGAUGAACCCGAUGAGCCAAAGCCAGUAGCACAGAAGCAGAUGGAACCCAACCCUGAGGACUCCCUGCCACAGCAGGGGGGAACUGCCAGUGGAGGUCCAGGUUCCUGUGACUCCAGCUUUGGAAGUGGCAUUAAUGUCUUCACCUCAGCCAGCACUGACAGGGCUCCAGUGACCCUGCACCUGGACGGGAUUGUGCAAGUCCUGAACUGCCACCUCAGUGACACAACCAUUGGGAUGAUGACCAGGAUUGCUGUUCUGAAGUGGCUCUACCAUCUCUACAUCAAAACUCCCCGCAAGAUGUUCUGGCACACAGACAGCCUCUUCCCCAUCCUACUUCAGACAUUAUCUGAAGAAUCUGAUGAGGUUGUCUUGAAGGAUCUGGAAGUGUUGGCAGAAAUUGCUUCCUCCCCUGCAGGCCAGACGGAUGACCCCGGCAAUAUUAGGAUAUUAGGAUAUUAA